CUUAAAUCAUAAGAAGGAACCACAAAUUACAAAAAAGUGAUAGAGGAUGGCAUAGCCACAGGUGAACAUAGUUUUCCUUACAUGUCCUAAAAUCAUUUUUGGUUUGUUAUGAACAGACACAUCAUUUGCAUAACCAUUGAUGCAAUGUCAAAGUAUUUUAAGCAGCUGUCUUUACUGUCAGACUAGGCUAAGACUAAGGACCGCUGUGGUAGAGACCAUAGUCUAGUGGAAAUAGAAACAGAAUCUUUGAGACUGAGGAGGUGUUAAAGUGCUUCAAGAAACUGAUGACAAUUAUUUAGGAUGUUCAUGAUAACGAAUCUUUUUAGCUAAAGAGGGGGAGGUCAAGCAUGCCUACCUGCCAAGUUCUCCAUACAGUAGGUCACUCAAGAAAUAGGAGCAAAGCACCCUUUUUCCAUAUGUGAAGGCACUAAUACAAAUAAAAUAGAUGUUGGACCUGUCACAUUCCAAAAGUUAAAUUAAAACCUGAGGAAAAACCUACAAGCAAGUGUCAUCCAGCCUUCAGAUGAUAUUCUACAACUACAUUCUGUGAAGGGUCCAGCCCUAAGAGCAAACUCAAUCCAGGAAUAUCGUUUGUUUUGAAUUAGUUGUGCUGAUUUAGAAUGGAAGAGUUAACAAGAACAUAGCUUAAGUAAACAAAUUUCCCUCUGUUCAGGUUUUAGCGGGUGAAGUACAAAAAACACUCUCAAAUAACAAAAUAAGAAUUUAUGAAUAUAUGAACUAGAGUGGGCCUACGGUUGAACAAUUGGGAACCACGGCAAAGUGGACUGAGAAUUACGCUUGCUCUGACUUUGAAAGCUAAUAACUUUACAAAAACCAAACUAAAGUCGAUGGAUUUUAUAGAACGUUUACUUGAAUCUAUAUUAAACAUUUUGUUCUUUCAGGAUUUUUAAAUCAAUGAAAAUCAAAAAAGAAAAUGGUACUCAUUCAAUCCUUGCGGAUUCGUCCUGACAUCACAUCUUCGAGAAACGCUGGACGCGCGCGAAAAUUUCUCCCUUCAAAGCAGAGAUUAACAGUCGCCAUUUUGUCCUUUGGCUGAGAAAUUUCCGGAAAGACAGAUCAAUAGUUACUCGAUCCUCUGCCGAAAUACUAUCGGCCAAAAAUCUCAUUUAGAUAUCAAAUCGAUACUCAUUCGCUCGAUCCCCGUUAUACGCUCCAACCAUCUCAUUUUCCGACUAGAUGCGAAAUAGAGAACCUCACAAAAACUUUAAUAACUUGAAAAGCUUUAGGUUAGAAGAGCUGAUUUUCAAGACAUAUACACAGAGAAGCA